rnacentral:rRNA from 1 species
GCUGCCACCCGCGAACCGGUUCCGCGAAACAAAAACGUGGCUCCCCGGAGCACGACCCCUCCGGCCCGGCGGCGGGAGUGCGUCCGGGCGAGAGCGUCCGUUAUUAAACCCCUAGGGCGCGGCGAGCGCCAAGGAAUUUGAGCGGAGAGGGCGCCCGGCCCACCCGGCGCGAGCCCAUCCCGGCUGGCGUCGGCGUGCGGAAUGGCCGCCCGUAUGCGAAUCGCGUAGACGACUCUCGGCAACGGAUAUCUCGGCUCUCGCACCGAUGAAGAACGUAGCGAAAUGCGAUACUUGGUGUGAAUUGCAGAAUCCCGUGAACCAUCGAGUCUUUGAACGCAAGUUGCGCCCGAGGCCACCCGGCCGAGGGCACGUCUGCCUGGGCGUCACGCCACCCAUCGCCCCCCACCCCCGGCGUUCCACGCCCUGCGGGGCAGGGGGGGGCGGAGACUGGCCGCCCGUGCCCGAGUCCUCGGCGCGCGGCCGGCAGAAAUUGAGGACACCGUGCGGCGCGAUGCGGCGUGUGGGGGCUGAGAGGCGGAUCAUCGCCGAUCAUACGUCGUGCUGGCUUUCCGCUGCGCGCGGUGCCACCCGCGGGACCCGACUCGGACCGCGUCCCCACGUCAGGCGUGGCCACCCGCUG